CAAGACAACUUUACGGAGUUGACGAUUGACGGAGCGAAGCGACGUCAAAGCGUUCAUUAAAGUCGAGUUGGCUUAGGGAUACGUUCGUUGGGUAGGGGAGCGUUCUGUAAGCCUGUGAAGGUGUGUCGUGAGGCAUGCUGGAGGUAUCAGAAGUGCGAAUGCUGACAUAAGUAACGAUAAAGCGGGUGAAAAGCCCGCUCGCCGGAAGACCAAGGGUUCCUGUCCAACGUUAAUCGGGGCAGGGUGAGUCGACCCCUAAGGCGAGGCCGAAAGGCGUAGUCGAUGGGAAACGGGUUAAUAUUCCCGUACUUGGUGUUACUGCGAAGGGGGGACGGAGAAGGCUAUGUUGGCCGGGCGACGGUUGUCCCGGUUUAAGCGUGUAGGUGUGUGUUCCAGGUAAAUCCGGUUCACUUUAACACUGAGGCGUGACGACGAGGCACUACGGUGCUGAAGCAACAAAUGCCCUGCUUCCAGGAAAAGCCUCUAAGCAUCAGGUAACACGAAAUCGUACCCCAAACCGACACAGGUGGUCAGGUAGAGAAUACCAAGGCGCUUGAGAGAACUCGGGUGAAGGAACUAGGCAAAAUGGUGCCGUAACUUCGGGAGAAGGCACGCUGACACGUAGGUGAAGUGAUUUACUCAUGGAGCUGAAGUCAGUCGAAGAUACCAGCUGGCUGCAACUGUUUAUUAAAAACACAGCACUGUGCAAACACGAAAGUGGACGUAUACGGUGUGACGCCUGCCCGGUGCCGGAAGGUUAAUUGAUGGGGUCAGCGCAAGCGAAGCUCCUGAUCGAAGCCCCGGUAAACGGCGGCCGUAACUAUAACGGUCCUAAGGUAGCGAAAUUCCUUGUCGGGUAAGUUCCGACCUGCACGAAUGGCGUAAUGAUGGCCAGGCUGUCUCCACCCGAGACUCAGUGAAAUUGAACUCGCUGUGAAGAUGCAGUGUACCCGCGGCAAGACGGAAAGACCCCGUGAACCUUUACUAUAGCUUGACACUGAACAUUGAGCCUUGAUGUGUAGGAUAGGUGGGAGGCUUUGAAGUGUGGACGCCAGUCUGCAUGGAGCCGACCUUGAAAUACCACCCUUUAAUGUUUGAUGUUCUAACGUGGACCCGUAAUCCGGGUUGCGGACAGUGUCUGGUGGGUAGUUUGACUGGGGCGGUCUCCUCCUAAAGAGUAACGGAGGAGCACGAAGGUUGGCUAAUCCUGGUCGGACAUCAGGAGGUUAGUGCAAUGGCAUAAGCCAGCUUGACUGCGAGCGUGACGGCGCGAGCAGGUGCGAAAGCAGGUCAUAGUGAUCCGGUGGUUCUGAAUGGAAGGGCCAUCGCUCAACGGAUAAAAGGUACUCCGGGGAUAACAGGCUGAUACCGCCCAAGAGUUCAUAUCGACGGCGGUGUUUGGCACCUCGAUGUCGGCUCAUCACAUCCUGGGGCUGAAGUAGGUCCCAAGGGUAUGGCUGUUCGCCAUUUAAAGUGGUACGCGAGCUGGGUUUAGAACGUCGUGAGACAGUUCGGUCCCUAUCUGCCGUGGGCGCUGGAGAACUGAGGGGGGCUGCUCCUAGUACGAGAGGACCGGAGUGGACGCAUCACUGGUGUUCGGGUUGUCAUGCCAAUGGCACUGCCCGGUAGCUAAAUGCGGAAGAGAUAAGUGCUGAAAGCAUCUAAGCACGAAACUUGCCCCGAGAUGAGUUCUCCCUGAGACUUAGAGUCUCCUGAAGGAACGUUGAAGACGACGACGUUGAUAGGCCGGGUGUGUAAGCGCAGCGAUGCGUUGAGCUAACCGGUACUAAUGAACCGUGAGGCUUAACCUUACA
rnacentral:rRNA from 2 species